AUGCCCCCGAAGAAGAAACAAAAAAAAGAUAAUGGUUUCAUGGUAUUCAUGAAAUCUAUGAAACCACAAUUAGAAGCCAAGGGACAUAAGUUUCCUAGAGGCUUGACUGACGUUAUUCCGGUGUGCUCUCCGUUAUGGAAUAAAUUGUCACCUGAAGAAAAGGCAAGCUACCAUAAAAAAGCUAAAGAUGGUGGUGGUACUACUUUUAUCAAAGAAGAAAGAUGUGAUACUCGGGGAGUUCCAUUAAAUUGGAAGGAAAAAGAAGAGCAAAAGAAAAUAUCGGAAAAAGACCAUCUUCUGCAGAAAGUAGAAGAUAUGAUUUCAUACUUUGCUACUCAAGGAACUCUCGAGAAUCACUACUUUUAUCUGGCACAUUUCAACAUUGCUGUCGCUACCAGUGAGGGAGAGUACCCUCCAUGUGAAAUCGCUAUAGUGAAGUUUUCGCUUCUGGAUGGGAUAGCUAAGUGUUACCAUGACUUUGUAGAACCUGGUCAAAUCCGACUGGGGUAUGCCCACGAAGCCAAGCUACACUCUGAAAACACACACAAUAUCCCAACAUUUGGAUUCAAACUAGCCAAUUCAGAUUAUGUUAACAUUACGAAUAACAUCAAGGAAAUGCUCAAACAACCAGAUGGCGGGAUUGCUCCUUUAUUCGUGGUCGACGAAGACAACGCGAAAGCGAUUUAUAUAGUGGACUGGUUAGUCAAAAAGAGUUGCCAACUGGACGAUUCGUACGAGACGUGCAGCCCGUUCAAGAUCUACAGUUUGAACAAACUCUUUUACGAGUUGCGUCGCCAGGCCGACGUGAACAAUUCGACGUUGAAAUUUUCCAGCAUUGCGCUAGUGGCCGAACACUUUGGCAAAGGAAUGUUUUUCUACAGCAAAAAUAUGGCCUGCCAGUGGCAUGUGGAAGAAGACAAUGUAACGUUUUGUUCGCUAACGCGGGUGCGCAACUACGCCUACACGAUUUCCGACUUGUGCUGCGAGUACUAUGACUUGUCUCUGCUGCCUAAUCGCCACUGCCCUUCUGAAAUUGCUGAUGACAACAAAUAUGUCGUAAUGCCCAAAGUGACUGAAACGGAAGAACCGGAGGCACCGGUUGAAGUGAAGAAGAAGAAGGAGGAGGAGGAAGAUGACAGAGAACCAUCCGGUCCACCACGAUUGCCCAACACUCCUGCCAGUAAAUCAAUUUUUAAUUGUUGUUGCAUCUAUAAAUGGCCAUGUUCAGAGAUAUUUCCUUUACCCGUUCACUCUAGCUGCCAAUUUCAAGGGUCCUGGAACAGGGCGUGGCGUUUUGGGCGGAUCGAUGGGCCCUGUUUCGUCCGCCACUCAAUCGCCAGGUCGAUCGCGAGCAAUUGAAACGGCACCCCCAGCUGGAAGAGGUCGCGGCCGCGGACUUCUUUUACUUUCUGAUGACUCGGAUUGAUUCUCCCUUUCCCUUUACCAAGUUUACAUGUGUCUCGAUUCACCAAUUCUUUGCCCACACACAGUUGCGGCGACGCGUAAUUAGACGGCGUCGUGGAAACAACGUCAUCUGGCGUUUGAAUGCUUUUACAUCAACAAGGCGACGACCGGGAAACUUUUGCCGCAAAAGCAGCCAGCGUCGUCGAUAAUUUUAAAAAUACUCAAAACUCCCUCCUAAAACGCCCAGAGUGAGAGAGAGAGAGACGCAAACUGUUGCGGAUCGAUUCUUUUCAUCCUUCUUAUCCGGCCCUUCACUAGUCAUUUAACAUCUGAAUAGCAGAGCUAAAACGUUCCAUCUAGAUUCCAGCCAACCUCCUCCUUUCUCCAAAUUUUGUUUGCCCUUCAAGAUAAAUGUGGUAAAUAUAGCAGAAAGUAUUUUUUAACUCGAA